CUUUACAUAUUACUAAUAUAGUACAAUGCUGUUGAUUAAAAAUUACACCACUCCAGACCCUUUUGUUUUCCACAUAAUUAAUAUUGCCAAUAAUUAAGAAGUUCCGGGUCGAAUCCGAUACCGAUACCAAUAGUAUAUUCACCUGUUACCUAUUAACUUAUCUGUACGUUCCGCAUCUGACAGGCGCACCACCAAACGCUGUAUUUAGGAUUUUGCUAUAUACACGGGUCGUAAUCACAGGGUUGACACUACU
rnacentral:lncRNA from 1 species